GCCGCGGUAAUUCCAGCUCCAAUAGCGUAUAUUAAAGUUGUUGCAGUUAAAAAGCUCGUAGUUGAAUUUCGGGGUCAGUAGGUUGGUCGUGCCACCGGUACGUACUGGUCUCACUGAUUCCUCCUUCCUGAUGAGCUGUAAUGCCAUUAAUUUGGUGUUGCAGGGAAUCUGGACUGUUACUUUGAAAAAAUUAGAGUGUUUAAAGCAGGCUAACGCUUGAAUACAUUAGCAUGGAAUAAUGAAAUAGGACGUUCGAUCCUAUUUUGUUGGUUUCUAGGAUUGACGUAAUGAUUAAUAGGGAUAGUUGGGGGCAUUAGUAUUCAAUUGUCAGAGGUGAAAUUCUUGGAUUUAUUGAAGACUAACUACUGCGAAAGCAUUUGCCAAGGAUGUUUUCAUUAAUCAAGAACGAAAGUUAGGGGAUCGAAGACGAUCAGAUACCGUCGUAGUCUUAACCAUAAACUAUGCCGACUAGGGAUCGGAUGAUGUUAAUUU
rnacentral:rRNA from 1 species